AGUGAACGCUGGCGGUAGGCCUAACACAUGCAAGUCGAACGGCAGCACAGUAAGAGCUUGCUCUUACGGGUGGCGAGUGGCGGACGGGUGAGGAAUACAUCGGAAUCUACUUUUUCGUGGGGGAUAACGUAGGGAAACUUACGCUAAUACCGCAUACGACCUACGGGUGAAAGCAGGGGAUCUUCGGACCUUGCGCGAUUGAAUGAGCCGAUGUCGGAUUAGCUAGUUGGCGGGGUAAAGGCCCACCAAGGCGACGAUCCGUAGCUGGUCUGAGAGGAUGAUCAGCCACCCUGGAACUGAGACACGGUCCAGACUCCUACGGGAGGCAGCAGUGGGGAAUAUUGGACAAUGGGCGCAAACCUGAUCCAGCCAUACCGCGUGGGUGAAGAAGGCCUUCGGGUUGUAAAGCCCUUUUGUUGGGAAAGAAAAGCAGCAGGUUAAUACCCCGCUGUUCUGACGGUACCCAAAGAAUAAGCACCGGCUAACUUCGUG
rnacentral:rRNA from 1 species